rnacentral:tRNA from 1 species
CGGGGUGUAGCGCAGUCCGGCUAGCGCACCACGUUCGGGACGUGGGGGUCGGAGGUUCGAAUCCUCUCGCCCCGA